AUACGUAGGGGGCGAGCGUUGUCCGGAAUGAUUGGGCGUAAAGGGCGCGUAGGCGGCCCGGUAAGUCUGGAGUGAAAGUCCUGUUUUUAAGAUGGGAAUUGCUUUGGAUACUGUCGGGCUUGAGUGCAGGAGAGGUAAGUGGAAUUCCCAGUGUAGCGGUGAAAUGCGUAGAGAUUGGGAGGAACACCAGUGGCGAAGGCGACUUACUGGACUGUAACUGACGCUGAGGCGCGAAAGUGUGGGGAGCAAACAGGAUUAGAUACCCUGGUAGUCCACACUGUAUACGAUGAAUGCUAGGUGUAGGGGGUAUCGACCCCUUCUGUGCCGCAGUCAACACAAUAAGCAUUCCGCCUGGGGAGUACGGCCGCAAGGUUGAAACUCAAAUGAAUUGACGGGG
rnacentral:rRNA from 1 species